rnacentral:rRNA from 1 species
AUGGUACAACAGAUUUGCCAGAACCAAAUCCUUCGAAGAAAGGAAACUGCUGGAAUGUCUCAGUCUGGUGAUUGGUUGAGCACAAAUCUGGCGCAGCUAUGCCUCACAGAAGUGCAUAUUCUUCCUUUGGCUCUAUCAUCGCCGGUGUCUCCCGUGCGCCGCUCUGCUUCUCCGAAGACACGUCAUCGACAGUGCUGCAUGUCUGUUCUGUGGCAAAUACGAGACCUUGGAGCACCUGUUGUUCAAUUGCGUGCACGCUCGUGCCAUCUAGGCUCCUGGUCUCCGGCUUCCCCCUUGGUUGAAGCCCUGUGUUCCUCCCGGACCGCCCGGUUCCCUGAACCGCCUUGCCUGUGCUUUACUGCCUGCACUACUGUCCUCUGGAAUGUUUGGAAGAGCCAGAACGCCAAGGUCUUCCGUGAUCAAAGUCUCCCCCCGCUCGACAUGGUCGACAACAUUUCUGCAGACGUCUGA